AAAAACAAUAAAUCAAAACUUUCAACAACGGAUCUCUUGGUUCUGGCAUCGAUGAAGAACGCAGCGAAAUGCGAUAAGUAAUGUGAAUUGCAGAAUUCAGUGAAUCAUCGAAUCUUUGAACGCACAUUGCGCCCGCCAGUAUUCUGGCGGGCAUGC
rnacentral:rRNA from 1 species